GACGAACGCUGGCGGCGUGCCUAAUACAUGCAAGUAGAACGCUGAAGAGAGGAGCUUGCUCUUCUUGGAUGAGUUGCGAACGGGUGAGUAACGCGUAGGUAACCUGCCUUGUAGCGGGGGAUAACUAUUGGAAACGAUAGCUAAUACCGCAUAACAAUGGAUGACACAUGUCAUUUAUUUGAAAGGGGCAAUUGCUCCACUACAAGAUGGACCUGCGUUGUAUUAGCUAGUAGGUGAGGUAAUGGCUCACCUAGGCGACGAUACAUAGCCGACCUGAGAGGGUGAUCGGCCACACUGGGACUGAGACACGGCCCAGACUCCUACGGGAGGCAGCAGUAGGGAAUCUUCGGCAAUGGGGGCAACCCUGACCGAGCAACGCCGCGUGAGUGAAGAAGGUUUUCGGAUCGUAAAGCUCUGUUGUAAGUCAAGAACGGGUGUGAGAGUGGAAAGUUCACACUGUGACGGUAGCUUACCAGAAAGGGACGGCUAACUACGUGCCAGCAGCCGCGGUAAUACGUAGGUCCCGAGCGUUGUCCGGAUUUAUUGGGCGUAAAGCGAGCGCAGGCGGUUUGAUAAGUCUGAAGUUAAAGGCUGUGGCUCAACCAUAGUUCGCUUUGGAAACUGUCAGACUUGAGUGCAGAAGGGGAGAGUGGAAUUCCAUGUGUAGCGGUGAAAUGCGUAGAUAUAUGGAGGAACACCGGUGGCGAAAGCGGCUCUCUGGUCUGUAACUGACGCUGAGGCUCGAAAGCGUGGGGAGCGAACAGGAUUAGAUACCCUGGUAGUCCACGCCGUAAACGAUGAGUGCUAGGUGUUGGAUCCUUUCCGGGAUUCAGUGCCGCAGCUAACGCAUUAAGCACUCCGCCUGGGGAGUACGACCGCAAGGUUGGAACUCAAUGGAAUUGACGGGGGCCCGCACAAGCGGUGGAGCAUGUGGUUUAAUUCGAAGCAACGCGAAGAACCUUACCAGGUCUUGACAUCCCGAUGCUAUUUCUAGAGAUAGAAAGUUACUUCGGUACAUCGGUGACAGGUGGUGCAUGGUUGUCGUCAGCUCGUGUCGUGAGAUGUUGGGUUGAGUCCCGCAACGAGCGCAACCCCUAUUGUUAGUUGCCAUCAUUCAGUUGGGCACUCUAGCGAGACUGCCGGUAAUAAACCGGAGGAAGGUGGGGAUGACGUCAAAUCAUCAUGCCCCUUAUGACCUGGGCUACACACGUGCUACAAUGGUUGGUACAACGAGUUGCGAGUCGGUGACGGCGAGCUAAUCUCUUAAAGCCAAUCUCAGUUCGGAUUGUAGGCUGCAACUCGCCUACAUGAAGUCGGAAUCGCUAGUAAUCGCGGAUCAGCACGCCGCGGUGAAUACGUUCCCGGGCCU
rnacentral:rRNA from 1 species